AGACCCGAAACCCGGUGAUCUAGCCAUGGGCAGGUUGAAGGUUGGGUAACACUAACUGGAGGACCGAACCGACUAAUGUUGAAAAAUUAGCGGAUGACCUGUGGCUGGGGGUGAAAGGCCAAUCAAACCGGGAGAUAGCUGGUUCUCCCCGAAAGCUAUUUAGGUAGCGCCUCGUGAAUUCAUCUCCGGGGGUAGAGCACUGUUUCGGCUAGGGGGCCAUCCCGGCUUACCAACCCGAUGCAAACUGCGAAUACCGGAGAAUGUUAUCACGGGAGACACACGGCGGGUGCUAACGUCCGUCGUGAAGAGGGAAACAACCCAGACCGCCAGCUAAGGUCCCAAAGUCAUGGUUAAGUGGGAAACGAUGUGGGAAGGCCCAGACAGCCAGGAUGUUGGCUUAGAAGCAGCCAUCAUUUAAAGAAAGCGUAAUAGCUCACUGGUCGAGUCGGCCUGCGCGGAAGAUGUAACGGGGCUAAACCAUGCACCGAAGCUGCGGCAGCGACACUCAGGUGUUGUUGGGUAGGGGAGCGUUCUGUAAGCCUGUGAAGGUGGCCUGUGAGGGUUGCUGGAGGUAUCAGAAGUGCGAAUGCUGACAUAAGUAACGAUAAAGCGGGUGAAAAGCCCGCUCGCCGGAAGACCAAGGGUUCCUGUCCAACGUUAAUCGGGGCAGGGUGAGUCGACCCCUAAGGCGAGGCCGAAAGGCGUAGUCGAUGGGAAACGGGUUAAUAUUCCCGUACUUGGUGUUACUGCGAAGGGGGGACGGAGAAGGCUAUGUUGGCCGGGCGACGGUUGUCCCGGUUUAAGCGUGUAGGCUGGUUUUCCAGGCAAAUCCGGAAAAUCAAGGCUGAGGC
rnacentral:rRNA from 1 species